AAAGAAACCAACCGGGAUUGCCUCAGUAACGGCGAGUGAAGCGGCAAAAGCUCAAAUUUGAAAUCUGGCCCCUCCGGGGUCCGAGUUGUAAUUUGUAGAGGAUGCUUCGGGUGCGGCCCCCGUCUAAGUGCUCUGGAACGGGCCAUCGGAGAGGGUGAGAAUCCCGUCUGGGAUGGGGUGCCCGCGUCCGUGUGAAGCUCCUUCGACGAGUCGAGUUGUUUGGGAAUGCAGCUCUAAAUGGGUGGUAAAUUUCAUCUAAAGCUAAAUACUGGCCGGAGACCGAUAGCGCACAAGUAGAGUGAUCGAAAGAUGAAAAGCACUUUGAAAAGAGAGUUAAACAGCACGUGAAAUUGUUGAAAGGGAAGCACUGGCAACCAGACUCGCCCACGGGGUUCAGCCGGCCUUCGGGCCGGUGUACUUCCCCGGGGGGCGGGCCAGCGUCGGUUUGGGCGGCCGGUUAAAGGCCCCCGGAAUGUAACGUCCCUCGGGGCGCCUUAUAGCCGGGGGUGUCAUGCGGCCAGCCUGGACCGAGGAACGCGCUUCGGCACGGACGCUGGCAUAAUGGUUGUCAAUGA
rnacentral:rRNA from 1 species